GCCCCCAGUCUAAAGGCUCAGAGACUAUCCAUCUAGAUCUAUAGCAAUCUCUUCUAAAGGAUUCUGCUUUGUAAAGUGCCGUGCUUGGCCAGCCUGGAUAAUGUGCCCACCCCAUGACAGGGAAUCUUAACCACCAAACACACCAGGGUCCAGAGGAACAAUUCUUAAAGGAAAAGAUGGUAGGCAAACAGGAAUAGUGCUUACAACCAUUUCCUAUUACUAACUCCAUGUUCUCGGGGUCCUAGGCUGAAGAAGUUCUUCAGGCGUACUUGAAGUCCACGGAGUCUGUGACUGAUGCAAUUCUACAGACAGACCAGACACUCACAGAAAAGGAAAAGGAGAUUGAAGUGCAACGCGUGAAAGCUGAAUCUGCAGAGGCUGCAGCAAAAAUGUUGGAGCAAAUGCAAA